rnacentral:lncRNA from 1 species
GGGAGUUCUACUGUAAGUAAACCAGUGAAGCCAUACCCAUUUCACUGUAGAUAUCAACCAUACCCAUUUCUUCCAUUUCCUUCUCACUUCUCCAUUUCCUCACGUAAACCCAGACAGUUUCUUCUCUCACUUCUUUUUCAAUUCUUCUCUCCUUUUUUUGUGAUUAAUCUUCGUGCAAAAUUCUCGUGAAUAGAGAGGUAAAUCCUUGACAUGCCGUUUUUCUCAGAUUAUGAUUUUGUUUAUUCUGCAUAUAGUGUGGGUGCAUUUUAUGGGAUCUAGCGACAAGUGAGGAUCAUGCUGAAUUCAUGGUAUUGUUAUCUUUUUUUUCAGGUUAAUAUGAUUUACUUAUAAUUUUUCAACAGUUUUAACUCUAAAGUUCCAAAAAAUGGUUUUCAAUCCAUAUAUUCAAGAGGUUUUUUCUUACAGAAUUUGGAUUGAAGAGACAAUAUUCUUGUUUAGAUUUUUUGAAGAGGAAAACUUAAUUGAUUUACCAAAAUCACCCAAUUCCACCAACCUCACACACCUUCAAUAGUAUAUGCUAAAAAAUGCAUAACCAGACAGGCAUCUGCCUAAGAAUAGAUUCCGGGGUAGAAUUAAAAAUCUUAUAUCAUUUAUGCAAAGGCACCUUUUGCCUUUGAAACAUAUUGAUAGAGAUAGUUACAUUUCUAUGCAGGUUCAAAAUCUUAUUCUUGAUGUGGCAAUGUGCUUUUGGCAACUCUCAUGGUAUCUCAAUCUUCAAGCAUCAGUGUGAAUGACCUUUUUGGUUAGUCUUCUUGAUUCAUUUGUCUCUUGUAUUUAGUAACAUAUUGGUGCGAGGAGUCCCCGCACGAAAUUGGUGUGAGGAGUCCCCGUACAACCGCGUGCAGGCACUCCGCACAUUUUUGUGCGGAGUCCCUGCACUACAGGCAGAUUCCUAACACGAGUCACUUAUUUCCCAUACCACCAACUUCAUUUUCGCCACAAACCUCAUCUUUCUUCCAUAAAUAUCAAUAGAUUAAAAAUAGUAAGUUAUUCACAUAAAUAACAUUAUUCAUAAAAAUCAACUUACCUUAGAAUUUGUUGCUUAAUUCGUUUGAAAUAGACUGUAAUUAGUUUGAGAUUUGAGAUGAAUGAAUUGAAGAUGCAGAUAAAAAAUUAAUGACUUAUGAAUUUGAGGUGAAGAAAUGAAGUAGGUUGGUGAAAUAGUUACUCAUAUUAAUUGCAUUUGGCAUUCUGCAAGAUUCUUUCUUUUUUUUUGUAUUUAUCUUUUGCCUGCAAGAAAGAGACAUGUUUGGUUAUCCUCUAUCACAAAUGCAAUGUAUCACACUGGAAUUUGACUAUCUCAACCACAAGAAUCCACAUUCUCACUUACUUUCAAACCAAACACAUUUCUAAUAUUCAGAAUUAUUUAAAUGAAAUAUCUUUAGGAAAGUCUUUAAAUAUGAGAUAAUCUCUAUAAUAAAGAGUUAAUCUUUAAAAUUAUCCUCCAAAACCCUCUUUAACAUUUUAAUUUAGAAAAUUGGACAGUCAAAUUCACUCUCUCUGUAAUUAAAUGCAUUUACAGUGUUUUCAAUUUUCAAUGUAAGAAAAUAAUAAAAUAAUCUAAAGAAAAGUUGGUUAAAACAAAAGAUAAAGAAAAAUAAAUUAUUCUUUACUAUAACAAAAUUAUAAAUUAUCUUUUACUUAUAUUCCCACAAUUUUAAAUCUAAUUUUUACUAACUGCCAGAGAAGAUUCAUGCCAAAAAAUUUAAUUCAAACUUCAAAAGCAUAAUCAGCCAAGAAAACUAAAAUCUCUACAUCACGCUAAUAAAGACACAUUAAAUACAAUAAUUGUGCAACGCACGUGGCAUCGACUAGUUAUAAAUUACAACCCAAAAGAAUAUGAUCUCUACACAUAUUUAGGCCCAUACUUUAAUAGGAUGCCCCAAACUCAAUUACUUUAAAUAUUUAUUAAAUCACUUUAAACGGACUUAACAUUAAGAUAACAUUUAAUACACACUUAAUUAUAUAUGUAGGCACACUUGAUAAAUUAAAACCCAACAAUUGGGAUUGGAGUUAUUCGAUCUAGGUUGUGAUUUAUAAACGGAUGGUAGAAGGCAGGUGAAUUACGAAAAUAUUUCUAAAUUGGAUGUGUGAAAAUAUAUUAUCUAACAAUUUCUUCCGAUUAUUGUUAUAAUUAUUUUCACAUACAACCCGAAAUAUUCAUAUCCUAAAUUCAAAUAUGUCAAAAUGCAUUCAAUAACUAGAUUAUUCAUAUAGAUUGCAUAAAAGACAUACAAUUAUUCCCAAUGUCUAUAGAAUCUUAGUUUGAUUGUCAAGUAUCUAUGCGUACUCUGAACCUUUCGAAAGUAAAACAAGCUUCAAACAUGUUUAAAAAUUGAUCAUUCUUCGAAACAGAAAUUUAAACCUUAAGAUCAAUCCAUCAACACAAGUUGAAAAUUAAAAGAAGAGUUUCGAAUCAAAACAUCAACUAAGUUUUACAUAAUCAUUCUAGAUACGGAGUGUUUAGUAUAUCAGGCCAGUAAUACAAAAACAUAGAAUCAAUUGAAUAUCAAUCACGGAGUAAAUUAAAUUGUAACGAAAAUGUUGAAGAUGAAUUUUAGCCUCCUUUGAAUUCCUUCAUUGGGAUAUUCAAGAAAUCCAAUCUUCUUGAUUGAAAUCUUUACUAUCGAGCUAAAAUCUUGAAAGUAUGAAGUGUUUUAUGUCUGUCUCUAGCCCUCUUUUCCAAGUUACAAUAUGAAGAAUAAUCAAAUUGACCUAUUGAAUUAUGUUAAAAUCGUGUGCCAAUUGCUUCCACAAAGAUGUUGAAUUGGAAAAGGAAACAUAAUUUUGCGGCCCUGUUUUUCUCAUUUGGCCCCAUUAAUUUUCAUUUUAUUUUUCUUUCUCCUAUUUUUAAUCAUACAAUUUUCCAUAAAAUAAUAUUAUACAUAAAAAUCGAAAAUUUUUCCUUUUUUUUUCAACCACUUAUUUAAAAAAAAAAACAUUCUAUUUAUUUUGAUUUCUACAAAAUGGGGACCAAACGGAGGCUAAUCGUGUGAUCACAUGGUAAGUCGAGUUGUGAUUGGUCAUGUAGGAUUUGCAGGUUCCCACCUUGAGAUCUCAUGGGCAUUCCCAUUGCGAUCACAAGGUAAUCACAACACAAUAGCAGAGUCCUUCAGCAUGUUAGAAUUUUGCGUGGGAGUGAUUCAAUACUUCUAUAGAUUUCAUUAUUUUUAUAAUGGAGUACUGAUUCAGAGGGAGUUGAAGUAGUUAUCUUGUUGAAUUAUAUACGAAAAAUAGUAGGAUUUCGAAAGCUAUGAAGCAAUGGAUCAUGUGCUUAAAAACCACGUACUAGCAAUUUCAUUUGAUUCUCAAAUAAAAUGACAAAUUAUUCUCAAUUAAGUGUACCCUAACAUUGAUUUAAUUUAUUUUAAUGGUUUCACAAGAUUGAACAUUUUUUUCGUUCAAUCGAGUUCCAGAGCAAGAAGGAAGGCUAAAUGAAUAUUUUUAAUUCGAAAUCAGAAAAUUUUUAUAUAUGUGUAAUCAUUAUGUAUAUGCAUCACAAUCGAAAUAAUAAAUUAGCAUUUAUAGUGGAUGGGUUGGUGGUGGUGAUGAUACACCUGAUUUUUGAAAGAAAAAAUUUGCACCUUACUUUUUGAAAUUAAUGAUAAGUUGAAAAUUGGGAGUGGAUGUAAAAAUAUAUUUGAGUAGCCCAAUAAAUUAUGUGGGAAUUAUAGACAUCAAAUUUUUUAAGAUCUUCCAGUGAUGAAAUUAAGAAAGAACAAACAUCCUACGAAGAAUAGAAGGUUGUAGACCGAAUUUUCCUAUUUUUCAUGUUGGCAUGGUGCCUCAUUAAAUUUUAUAUUUAUUGAUAAAAUUCAACAUAAUUCUCGAAACAACUUUGCUACACUUACAUUCUGGUUUACAGUCUACCAUGUGGAACACAAUUCUACCAUUCAUUUAUUCAAUACUUAAAAUAAUCAAUGAUCUCAAUUUUAAAAUAUAUUCAAAUGUCAUCCAAUUUGUACACAAAGAACGUACAACUAGAUAGAGUCUUCUCGAAAUCAUGUGGUCCAAGCACAAUAGUUUUUUCUUGAAUGGUCUAGGGCUAGGGACCGCAAAGUAGGUUUUUUUUCUUGAGGGUGUAGGAUCAUUAAGCAUUAAAGGCAUGUAUAUUUUGUGGCUGUCAUUAGUCUAACAGAAGGCAAUGGCGCAAGGCAGGGUUUUAGAAUUUUUCUGCAUGACGAUUGAAUAAUGGACCACACGUUACUGCUGAACUUGCCCUAUAAGUUGUCACACAAAUUUUAGGUGAUGCCAUGAUUUUUACUUGCAUUUAAUAAUAAUGUCUUAAAUAUCGGUUCAAAUAUCAACUGAUUGGGAAAAAUAAAGGGUUCAAGUAGGGGCGGAUCCAGCCUUUCUAGGUUGUGGGGUAAAAAAUUAACGUGUAAUUUUUCAAAAUAAUAUAAUAUUAAUGUAAAUAAAUUAAUACGCAUUUUGACACCUUGAAAAUGUCUUAUAAUUAUAUCAUUAUCAAUAAUGUUAAGUGAAUUUUGCUACAUGUAUAAUUUUGUUUACCA